CCUACGGGUGGCAGCAGUGAGGAAUAUUGGUCAAUGGGCGCGAGCCUGAACCAGCCAAGUCGCGUGAGGGAAGACGGUCCUAUGUAUUGUAAACCUCUUUUGUCAGGGAGCAAAAACCGCCACGCGUGGCGUUCCGAGAGUACCCGAAGAAAAAGCAUCGGCUAACUCCGUGCCAGCAGCCGCGGUAAUACGGAGGAUGCGAGCGUUAUCCGGAUUUAUUGGGUUUAAAGGGUGCGCAGGCGGAAGAUCAAGUCAGCGGUAAAAUUGAGAGGCUCAACCUCUUCGAGCCGUUGAAACUGGUUGUCUUGAGUUGGCGAGAAGUAUGCGGAAUGCGCGGUGUAGCGGUGAAAUGCAUAGAUAUCACGCAGAACUCCGAUUGCGAAGGCAGCAUACCGGCGCUCAACUGACGCUCAUGCACGAAAGUGUGGGUAUCGAACAGGAUUAGAUACCCUUGUAGUC
rnacentral:rRNA from 1 species